AACGAACGUUGGCGGCGUGGAUGAGGCAUGCAAGUCGAGCGAGAAAGCACCUUCGGGUGUGAGUAAAGCGGCGGACGGGUGAGUAACACGUAAUCAAGCUGCCCUCGAGACUGGGAUAACAGCGGGAAACUGCUGCUAAUACUGGAUGGUGCUGCAGUAUCGCAUGGUGCUGCGGCUAAAGGCAGGGAUCCUCCGGGACCUGUCACUCGAGGAGGUGAUUGCGGCCUAUCAGCUAGUUGGUGGGGUAAUGGCCUACCAAGGCAGCGACGGGUAGCAGGCCUGAGAGGGUGGUCUGUCACACUGGGACUGAGACACUGCCCAGACUCCUACGGGAGGCUGCAGUCGAGAAUCUUCCGCAAUGGACGAAAGUCUGACGGAGCGACGCCGCGUGGAGGACGAAGGCAUUAGUGUUGUAAACUCCUGUCACGGAUUAUGAAUGCCGAUGCGUUAAUAGCGUAUCGAUUGACGUAAGUCCGAGAGGAAGCACCGGCUAACUCUGUGCCAGCAGCCGCGGUAAUACAGAGGGUGCAAACGUUGUUCGGAAUUACUGGGCAUAAAGCGCACGUAGGCGGCUGAGUAAGUGUGAAGUGAAAUCCUACGGCUUACCCGUAGAACAGCUUUGCAUACUGCUCGGCUCGAGG
rnacentral:rRNA from 1 species